UACGGAAGGCAGCAGUGGGGAAUAUUGCACAAUGGGCGCAAGCCUGAUGCAGCCAUGCCGCGUGUAUGAAGAAGGCCUUCGGGUUGUAAAGUACUUUCAGUCGUGAGGAAGGUGUUAAGGUUAAUAACCUUAGCAAUUGACGUUAGCGACAGAAGAAGCACCGGCUAACUCCGUGCCAGCAGCCGCGGUAAUACGGAGGGUGCGAGCGUUAAUCGGAAUUACUGGGCGUAAAGGGCACGCAGGCGGUUAAUUAAGUUGGAUGUGAAAUCCCCGGGCUUAACCUGGGAAUGGCAUUCAAGACUGGUUAGCUAGAGUCUUGUAGAGGGGGUAGAAUUCCAUGUGUAGCGGUGAAAUGCGUAGAGAUGUGGAGGAAUACCGGUGGCGAAGGCGGCCCCUGGACAAAGGCUGACGCUCAUGUGCGAAAGCGUGGGGAGCGAAA
rnacentral:rRNA from 1 species